rnacentral:lncRNA from 1 species
UUAAUUAAGAAGCUUAUUUCAGAGUUCUCGGGAAAAGAUUACCAUAAGGGUGAGUUUGGUUCGUGCUAUUUUUUAAAGAUUUCUAGUAAUCCAAUGGGAAUAAAAAAAUAUGACGGUAUUUGGCUAAACGCACUAAGUAAUCUAGUUGGUAAUAUUGGAUUCACUUGGGAAUAAGAUUCACCCCAAAGUACUAAUCUCAUUCCCUUGAGGGAGGGUGGGUGGGUAUCCUCAUAUUAAUGGAUUGAGAUAAUCAUAAUAUGUCUAAUCUUUUUCUUUCUUCUUACCCGCCGGCUAAUUGAUAUUAUUUUUCGUUACACUCUAACUUUAUAUCUCUCUCUAAACUUAUUUUUCUCUCUAAAAUUCAACUUUUUUUCUCUCUCUAAACUAAGCUUUCUCUCUCCCUCUCUUUCUAAAAUUUCAACUCUCUCACUCCCUCUAAUUUCGACUAUAUUUUUCUUUCUAUUUUUUUAAUUAUGCUCUCUCUCUAACUUAUACUCUUUCUCCCUUUUUUCUAAAAAGAUAUUCAAACUUUUGGUAACAUUAUCUAAAAUUAAUUAAAUAAAUUAAUUAAUUAAUUAUAUAAUUUUUGUAAUAUUAAAUAAUAUGGCUAAUUAAUAUUACUGUGCGAACCAAACAUAAAAAUUCCACAUUCUUAGUAAUAGAAUGAAUAGAAAUAAGAUUCUAGAAUAUCUUUUAUUCCUAGUAAUUUUUCAUAAUGCGAACCAAACGCACCCUAAAAGUUUUGAGGCAACACAUGAGAGAGAUAUCUAAGAGAGUAAAGCGUUGAGAUGUUUGAUGAAAUUUGUAGUAU